rnacentral:rRNA from 2 species
CAGUCGAGCGGAUUUUCUGGAGCUUGCUCCAGAGAGUUAGCGGCGGACGGGUGAGUAACACGUGGGCAAUCUGCCCGUAAGACUGGGAUAACUCCGGGAAACCGGGGCUAAUACCGGAUAACCCUGACUCUCUCCUGAGAGUCAGUUGAAAGAUGGUUUCGGCUAUCACUUACGGAUGAGCCCGCGGCGCAUUAGCUAGUUGGUGAGGUAACGGCUCACCAAGGCGACGAUGCGUAGCCGACCUGAGAGGGUGAUCGGCCACACUGGGACUGAGACACGGCCCAGACUCCUACGGGAGGCAGCAGUAGGGAAUCUUCCGCAAUGGACGAAAGUCUGACGGAGCAACGCCGCGUGAGUGAAGAAGGUUUUCGGAUCGUAAAACUCUGUUGUCAGGGAAGAACACGUACGAGAGUAACUGCUCGUACCUUGACGGUACCUGACCAGAAAGCCACGGCUAACUACGUGCCAGCAGCCGCGGUAAUACGUAUGUGGCAAGCGUUGUCCGGAAUUAUU